AUUGAACGCUGGCGGCAGGCUUAACACAUGCAAGUCGAGCGAGCGGCGGACGGGUGAGUAAUGUCUGGGAAACUGCCCGAUGGAGGGGGAUAACUACUGGAAACGGUAGCUAAUACCGCAUACCAUCAGAUGUGCCCAUAUGGGAUUAGCUAGUAGGUGGGGUAAUGGCUCACCUAGGCGACGAUCCCUAGCUGGUCUGAGAGGAUGACCAGCCACACUGGAACGGAGACACGGUCCAGACUCCUACGGGAGGCAGCAGUGGGGAAUAUUGCACAAUGGGCGCAAGCCUGAUGCAGCCAUGCCGCGUGUGUGAAGAAGGCCUUCGGGUUGUAAAGCACUGUCAGCGGGGAGGCGUUACUCGCAGAAGAAGCACCGGCUAACUCCGUGCCAGCAGCCGCGGUAAUUC
rnacentral:rRNA from 1 species